UGCGAAUGGCUCAUUAUAUAAGUUAUCGUUUAUUUGAUAGUACCUUACUACUUGGAUAACCGUGGUAAUUCUAGAGCUAAUACAUGCUAAAAAUCCCGACUUCGGAAGGGAUGUAUUUAUUAGAUUAAAAACCAAUGCCCUUCGGGGCUCCUUGGUGAUUCAUGAUAACUUCUCGAAUCGCAUGGCCUUGUGCCGGCGAUGGUUCAUUCAAAUUUCUUCCCUAUCAACUUUCGAUGUUUGGGUAUUGGCCAAACAUGGUUGCAACGGGUAACGGAGGGUUAGGGCUCGACCCCGGAGAAGGAGCCUGAGAAACGGCUACUACAUCCAAGGAAGGCAGCAGGCGCGCAAAUUACCCAAUCCCGACACGGGGAGGUAGUGACAAUAAAUACUGAUACAGGGCUCUUUUGGGUCUUGUAAUUGGAAUGAGUACAAUUUAAAUCCCUUAACGAGGAACAAUUGGAGGGCAAGUCUGGUGCCAGCAGCCCGCGGUAAUUCCAGCUCCAAAUAGCGUAUAUUAAAGUUGUUGUGGUUAAAAAGCUCGUAKUUGAACCCUUGGGCCUGGCUGGCCGGUCCGCCUCACCGCGUGWACUGGUCCGGCCGGGCCUUUCCCUCUGUGGAACCCCAUGCCCUUCMCUGGGUGUGUAGCGGGGARMCAGGACUUUUUACUUUGAAAAAAUAUAGCAGUGCUCCAGGCAGGCCUAUGCUCGAAUACAUUAGCAUGGAAUAAUAGAAUAGGACGUGUGGUUCUAUUUUGUUGGUUUCUAGGACCGCCGUAAUGAUUAAUAGGGACAGUCGGGGGCAUCAGUAUUCAAUUGUCAGAGGUGAAAAUUCUUGGAUUUAUUGAAGACUAACUACUGGAAAGCAUUUGCCAAGGAUGGUUUUCUUA
rnacentral:rRNA from 1 species